CCAGACUCCUACGGGAGGCAGCAGUGGGGAAUAUUGCACAAUGGGGGAAACCCUGAUGCAGCGACGCCGCGUGAAGGACGAAGUAUUUCGGUACGUAAACUUCUAUCAGCAGGGAAGAAAAUGACGGUACCUGACCAAGAAGCCCCGGCUAACUACGUGCCAGCAGCCGCGGUAAUACGUAGGGGGCAAGCGUUAUCCGGAUUUACUGGGUGUAAAGGGAGCGUAGACGGCCAUGCAAGUCUGAUGUGAAAACCCGGGGCUCAACCCCGGGACUGCAUUGGAAACUGGGCGGCUGGAGUGUCGGAGAGGCAAGUGGAAUUCCUAGUGGAGCGGUGAAAUGCGUAGAUAUUAGGAGGAACACCAGUGGCGAAGGCGGCUUGCUGGACGACGACUGACGUUGAGGCUCGAAAGCGUGGGGAGCAAACAGGAUUAGAUACCCCGGUAA
rnacentral:rRNA from 1 species